AGUGGAUAAGCAUUUGGCUGCUAACCAGAGGUUGGUGGUUCAAACCCACCAGCCACUC
rnacentral:tRNA from 1 species